ensembl:lncRNA
AGCUGUGGGAGCACAGGUGAAGGCAAUUCACCUGUGUGACCUGAAGAGGUGGAGCCUGGCUGCACCUCUCCUAGACCCCAUUUAAGGGCUGACUGCCACUGAGGAAGGAUCUCUUUCUGGAGAUUCCUUCCUUUGGAGUUUCUCUGCAAGUCUACAACACUGGUGGAAUUUCCUGAGGCAACUUGUACCCAUUGCUACUUGUCCUGUCAUCAUGCACCCAUGUGAGGAGAGUACAUCCAGCUUCCCUAGAGCUACUCUUUCAGAAAGCCUACAGACUCUGCAUCCAGAAUGUUGUAGAUGGGAAAAACUAUUUGAAGAACAUGAUGACUCUCAUCUUGUAAGAGCCUGGAGAGCAUCUGGACAUCUCUGGAAAGGUGGUUGAGGGAGGUUCCAGAUAAGGGAUGAAACAACGUGGGCGAGGAGAAAGGAGAAACUUUUUGUCAGUUACUGAGAAAGACGAGAAUGCAGCAGGAGGAAAAUACUGUUGUGCAGACAAGAGAAACGAUUCAAAAUGCAAUACCGAGAAAGGAAAGAAUAAACGAACAAAAUCCGUAGUUUCUAAGAGCGUUUGUUGAUGCUCCGUCUUUUCCAAAGCCAUGCCCAGGUGUUUGAUAGCCUCGGCCGAAGCAGCGUUGCAACGCAGCCCCGAGCCGCGCUCCUCGGCACUCGCCAGGCCGCCGAAGUUCCUCCGGGGCGGGCGGCCGGCCCGCCGCCUUUCUCCCUGCUCCCGAGUGGGACCGCCAGGGGGCGCUGUGAUGGCGAGGCGCCGGGCGGUUGGGAGGCGGGCAUCGAGCAGCGCUGCGUGGCGCCUGGAGCCUGAGCUGCGCGCCCCGCCCCGCCGGAACCUGGAGGGGGUAAAGGGGCGGCGCUAUCGGGGACGGGAAGGUGGCAGUUUCUAAAUGCGAAUUUUUAAAGGAGUUGGCAGAGUUCAUUUCUGAACGAGUGCGUUCAGAGUCACGUCCAGGAACAAGCGCAGUGUUCUCCUUUAACUCGUGAAUUGCAGCUUCCUGUUCCUGGGCAGCCGAGUGCAAAGCACAACGUAAAGCCAAAGCAACGCGUACUCAAACAGUUCAGCUCAUUCAUGUGCAAAUAGGUCUAUAACAUUUCCAAGCCAAAACUACGUAUAACAGCAUCACUUUAGGGGAGAAGACAAACGUAACCUGUCCCAUUAUCAUUAUCUCAUUGCAUUAUUAACUGUGGAACUGAAACCAUGAUAAUUUAGAAUGUGAUUACAAAUAAGUAAGAAAUAAGUAAAAAGCCCUCCGGCUUUUCAGAUCCUAAGUUCUUCAGGCACUUUCUUUAUU